GACGAACGCUGGCGGCGUGCUUAACACUUGCAAGUCGAACGGUGAAGGGGAGCUUGCUCCCCGGAUCAGUGGCGAACGGGUGAGUAACACGUGGGCAACCUGCCCCAAACUUCGGGAUAACGCUUCGAAAGAGGUGCUAAUACCGGAUACGAACUCCUUGGGCAUCCUGGGAGUUGGAAAGUUUUUCGGUCUGGGAUGGGCCCGCGGCCUAUCAGCUUGUUGGUGAGGUAACGGCUCACCAAGGCGACGACGGGUAGCCGGCCUGAGAGGGCGACCGGCCACACUGGGACUGAGACACGGCCCAGACUCCUACGGGAGGCAGCAGUGGGGAAUAUUGCGCAAUGGGCGAAAGCCUGACGCAGCAACGCCGCGUGAGGGAUGACGGCCUUCGGGUUGUAAACCUCUUUCAACAGGGAAGAAGCGAAAGUGACGGUACCUGCAGAAGAAGCACCGGCUAACUACGUGCCAGCCGCCGCCGUAACAC
rnacentral:rRNA from 1 species